GGGGAAUUUUCCGCAAUGGGCGAAAGUCUGACGGAGCAAUCUCGCGUGGAGGAUGACACCUUUCGGGGCGUAAACUCCUUUUAUGAGGGAAGAAAUUUUGACGGUACCUCAUGAAUAAGGGACGGCUAACUACGUGCCAGCAGCCGCGGUAAUACGUAGGUCCCAAGCAUUAUCCGGAAUUACUGGGCGUAAAGCGAUCAAAGGCGGUUUAUUAAGUCUGGUGUUAAAGCCCUCGGCUCAACCGAGGAAUUGUACUGGAAACUGAUAAACUAGAAGAAUGCAGAGGUGACUAGAAUUUCUAUUGUAGGGGUUAAAUCCGUAGAUAAUAGAAGGAAUACCAAAAGCGAAGGCAGGUCACUGGGCAUUUCUUGACGCUGCUUGAUCGAAAGCGUGGGGAGCAAAACGGAUUAGAUACCCGUGUAGUCCACGCCCUAAACAAUGGAUACUCGGUGUGGGAGGGUUUCAAUCCCCUUCCGUGCCUAAGCUAACGCGUUAAGUAUCCCGCCUGGGGAGUACGGCCGCAAGGUUAAAACUCAAAGGAAUAGACGGGGAUCCACACAAGCGGUGGAGCAUCUGGUUUAAUUCGACAAUAAGCGGAGAACCUUACCGGGGCUUGACAUCCUCAGAAUUCCUUGGAAACAGGGAAGUGCCUUUAUGGAACUGAGUGACAGGUGCUGCAUGGUUGUCGUCAGCUCGUGCCUUGAGGUGUUCGGUUAAGUCCGUUAACGAGCGCAACCCUCGUCGUAUGUUGUUUUUUUCAUGCGAGACUGCCAGUUUUAAGCUGGAGGAAGGUGAGGAUGACGUCAAAUCAGCAUGGCCCUUAUGUCCCGGGCGACACAGGUGCUACAAUGGCCGGUACAAUGCGUAGCCAAACCGCGAGGUGGAGCCAAUCGCAUCAAAGCCGGUCUCAGUUCGGAUUGUGGUCUGCAACUCGACCAUAUGAAGUUGGAAUCGCUAGUAAUUGCAGGUC
rnacentral:rRNA from 1 species